AUGAAUUCAAAGUCAGUCUCAGCAAUGGUGAGGCGCUAAGCAACUCAGUGAGACCCUGUCUCUAAAUUUAAAAAAAAUACAAAAUAGGGCUAGGGAUGUGGCUUGGUGGUCGAGUGCCCCUGAGUUUAAUCCUUGGUACAAAAAAAAAAAGUUACAAGCUAAUAUAAAUUCAUUUCCUCUCAAAAAAUCUUUGUUUGUUUAUGUGUUUUUUUUUUUCAGUACUGGGGACCAAACCCAGGGCCUGAGCAUCUAUGCAAGUGUUCUAUGACUGAGUACAUCUUCCAGCCCCUUCUGUAAAUGUUUUGAGUAUUAGUUGGAAAAGAACUCAUUCAUAGCUAGCAGAUUAAAUAGAUGGAAAAAUGUUAACUAUUAUUAAGUGAAAAAAGUAAAUUACAAAACCUUAGCUACAUUAUAAUCUUUUUUUAAAAAUUUUUGAUAUUGGGAAUUGAACCCAGGGGCACUUUACCAGUAACCUACACCCCAGUCCUUUUUCUUUUCUAUUUUGAGAGAGGGUCUUACGAAGUUGACUAGGGUCUAAGUAGCCUGGGCUGGCCUCAAACUCCUUCCUCAGCUUCCUGAGUCUCUGGGAUUACACAUGUGCUCUGGCCUAGCUAUUAUUUUAUUCUUGUUUUAAAAAGUUAACAUACAUAGAACAAAGACUGAAAGAAUAGAAACCAAACUGUCAAUAAUAGCAUUCACAUUGAAAGGCAUGGAAAAUAUGUAUUUACUUAAAUUUCUGUAUUAGCUAAAUUUUCUGUUUUAAUCCUGAACUUGGAUAAUAAUAGUAAAUGAAGUAUCUCAGUUAUAGUAUGCUAAAUUGAAUCUAUUUCAAAUGUAGAACAGGAAAACAAAUAUCCUAAAGACAUUAGAUGAAUAAUAUGCCUUCAUCCAGUUUAAAUCAUUAUUUGAAUAUGCAAAAUCAAAUAGAGUAUGGAGAACAAACAAAAGCUUAUUAUUUUUCUAAAGAUUAAAAGUAAGUCAGCACAUAGCAACAACAAUGGAUUUAGAAAAACUCCUGAAGUAUACUUACUCUAUUCCAAGAUGUUGUCUCCAGCCCAGCUUUCAGACAAACAGUAACAACUACAUACUGUGAGAGGUGAGAUGGGAGGGCAAAGACAAUAAAAUAAAAAAUGUAAAAAAAAUUUCCAUUAGAAUUCAUGUCUCCUGCUCCUUUCCUGACACCCCCCCCCGUUCAUCCUCACAUCUGGUGGACUAUAAUGUCAUUAAGUUGAUAAACGUUCUCCUGGGUUUUAGCUCUAAGGAGGAUGUAGUGUUUUCUAAUACAUGCACGUGUUUAGGAACUCUUUAGCAUACGACUCAAAUCAACACUUAUGUUAUAAGCUCUUAUAUUUACUUUUUUUUAUAAAUACCAUGGAAG
rnacentral:lncRNA from 1 species